CACAUGUGAUGAUAACAAGUCCAGAGUCAGGUUUUUAUGCAAAGAGAAAGGUGACAUCUGUGAGGAAAUUUCAUCAACAAGGUCAAAUGGGAGGUUCACUCUCACAGCCACCAACAGCAGCUUCAACAUGUCCAUCAGUAAUGUGUCCUCAGAGGAUGCUGGUGUCUACUGGUGUGGACUGGAAUCAAAAGACGGAAAUCAACAAAUUACCCUCAGACAAAUACGACUGGAGGUUAAAAAAAUUCCUGACUUCACAAGAUCCCCAAUGGUUGGAGAAACCUUCACAUACUGGUGUGAUUAUAGCAGUCACACUUCUCAUACUAACAAAUUCAUUUGUAAGGGAGAAGAUCCGUCUGUAUGUGAACGUCUAGUAAGCACCCAACAUAACAAGAUGAACAAUGGGAAGUUUUCCUUGAAUGACGACACACAGAAGAGAAAUAUCACCAUUACAGUGAGCGCUGUAACAGCAGACGACGCUGGGACAUACUGGUGUGGAGCAAAAAGCUUUAACAAAGAACGCAGCAAUCCAUUCUUCCACAGAUUCAUCAUGACUGUAGGUCCUGAAUUGUAUAUCUCAUUUUCUAUACACUAACUGAGCACUUUAUUAGGAACACCACAC